CAGUUGGCUCUGUGGCUCCUUACCGGGACGGUAUAACAGAAGCCUACAGAGCGGGGACCGGCGGUGGAUGGGGAAGGGCAGUAGCCGCAGCAGCAGCAGCAGUCGGGCGCACCGACCGAAGCAUGCUCCAGUGCAGCCAUGACUUGCUCGGCGUCAGAUAGCGAGAAGAUCGUGAUCAACUGCGGCGGGAUCCGACACGAGACCUACCGGAGCACCCUGAAGACGCUGCCGGGGACGCGCUUGUCUUGGCUGACCGAGCCCGACGCCUACAGCAACUUCGACUACGACCCCAAGUCCGACGAGUUCUUCUUCGACCGCCACCCCGCCACCUUCGCCUUCAUCCUCAACUACUACCGCACCGGGAAGCUCCACUGUCCCAACGAUGUCUGCGGGCCGCUCUUCGAGGAGGAGCUCGCCUUCUGGGGCAUCGAUGAGACGGACGUGGAGGCGUGCUGUUGGAUGAACUACCGGCAGCACCGCGACGCCGAGGAAGCCCUGGACAGCUUUGAGACCCCCGAGCCGGACGCACCCGAGGAUGACCCGGCACUCACCGGCGGGGCGGACGGAGAUCUGAAGCGGCUGUGCAUGCAGGAGGAUGGCCGCAGGGCGACGUGGUGGGAGGUGUGGCAGCCCUGGAUGUGGGCACUGUUCGAGGACCCCUACUCCUCCAAAUACGCCAGGUAUGUGGCGUUCGCCUCACUCUUCUUCAUCCUCCUCUCCAUCUCCACCUUCUGCUUGGAGACCCACGAAGUCUUCAACACCAUCUACAACAAAACGGAGAACAUGACUGUGGGCAAUGUGACGCACGAGGAGAUAGUCUACGAGGUGGUCACGGAUGGCUGGCUGACGUACGUGGAGGGCGUUUGUGUCAUCUGGUUCACCAUCGAGGUGAUGGCGCGCGUCGUCUUCUGCCCCGACAAGGCAGAGUUCUUCCGCAGCGCCCUCAACAUCAUAGACUUUGUGGCCAUCGUGCCCUUUUACUUGGAGGUGGCGCUGAGCGGCCUCUCCUCCAAAACAGCCAAAGACGUGCUGAGCUUCCUGCGUGUGGUGCGCUUCGUCCGUAUCCUGCGUAUCUUCAAGCUGACCCGCCACUUUGUGGGUUUGCGGGUCCUGGGCCACACUCUGCGGGCGAGCACCAACGAGUUCCUGCUGCUCAUCAUCUUCCUGGCGCUGGGCGUCCUCAUCUUUGCUACCAUGAUCUACUACGCCGAACGUAUCGGCGCCGACCCAGACGACCCGACGGCCGCGGCACACACCGACUUCAAGAACAUCCCCAUCGGCUUCUGGUGGGCUGUGGUGACCAUGACCACGCUGGGAUACGGGGACAUGUACCCUAAGACGUGGUCGGGAAUGCUGGUGGGGGCCCUCUGCGCCCUGGCGGGCGUGUUGACCAUCGCCAUGCCCGUGCCCGUCAUCGUCAACAACUUCGGCAUGUACUACUCCUUGGCCAUGGCCAAGCAGAAGCUCCCCAAGAAGAGGAACAAGCACAUCCCCAGAGCACCGCAGCCGGGCAGCCCCAACUACUGCAAGCCCGAUGCCCUGGCCAUGGCGACCGCCUCGCCGCACAGGCUGAUGGGUAACGUGCUGGGGCCGGGCAUGGUGGGAUCCGGCAGCAUGAUGGGAACCGGAGACUGCCCCCUGGCACAGGAGGAGAUCAUUGAGAUCAACAGAGCAGACUCCAAGCAGAACGGUGAUGCGGCGGCCAAUGCGGCGGCCCUGGCCAAUGAGGACUGCCCCACCAUCGACCAGGUCCUCGGGGACGAGCGCAGCCCGGCCACCGGGGGCCUCGGCUCCACCACCAGCCGCGAGCGCUACCCUCACGACCGGGCCUGCUUCCUGCUGAGCGCCGGGGAGUUCCAGCGCACGACGGAUGGGAAUGUUCGGAAAGUAGGAGGCACCGUGAACGGCUACUGGAGCGACAGCCCGUGGUAGAAGAAGAAGAAGAAGAAGAAGAGCAGACGCUGAACGCCACAGGAAGAAGAGAGAGAAUGAACAACAGGGACGAACGUAGAAAUAUGCAAUGUAGAUAAAAGAGACGAAGGCGGCAGUGGGAUCUGUGUGUUGGGAUGUGUUGUAUCUGACCAGAGUACAUGUGGAUCUGUGUGUGCAUGUGUGUGUGUGCAUGUGUGUGUGUGUGUGUGCCCAGACCUGCAUCUGGACUGAGAUGCACAAAUGUCAACUAGGAAAACAACAUUUCCCUUUAAGAAAACGGUUGUUUCAGUUUAGUUUUGGUGUUUCUGAUCCAUGUGUGAUUAUCUUUCUAUCAAAGUGUGGACUUUUGUUGCUUCCUUUUUGUUUUAAACUCUUUUUUUUUUUUUUUAAACAUUAUUUUGUGUAGAAAUGUAUUUCAGAGCUACAAUGUGAACCAUAUUCCUUGUAGAAGACAGUGAUUUUGUGUCUGUUGUUUAAGUUUUUUUUUGUCUGUCCUCAACUGUUGCUCUCACUUUCAUUCUCUCCCAGCAAAAUGUGAAAAUCAUUAGUUUAAUCAUUUUAAACCUGUUUAAGGAGACUUUAUAAAGUAUUGAAUCCUACCAAAAAGAAAAAAGGAAACCUAAAAAGUGAGCUAUCACCUUCUUGUUACCGUUUGACAUUCAGACUGGGAGUGCUGUAAGGUGAGGGCACCAACUGAGAAGAUGGUUGUACAUUUAAAGAUGUAAGUUUGGCAUUUUAGGAAAGAUUCUAAUUCACUUUCUUGCUGAGAGUGAGGCAUAAAUUUCACGUCUUACAGUUCUGAGCUACAGCUAGAAAGUCAUCAGCUUAGCUCAGAUUUAAGGGAAGUGUUGAAUCUGGGUUCCUCCAAAGGCAGAACUAUUAACCCUCCUGUUGUCUUCAUUUACAGGCUCCUUGUCUGAAAAAAAAAAUCCAAAAAUUCAGAAAAAAAUUCCCCCACGGUGAUGACUAAACUGCAUGGGAAUUCAGCUGUACAGUGUACAGUAAGAGUUGGUAAUUCAUGGGCUGCAGAGGUGUUUUUUUGUCUUUGCUAAGCUAAUGUAACUCGUCGCCUCCUGGCUCUAGCUCUAGAUUUACAGACUGAUCCUGCUCUCUGCAAGAAAAUGAGGUGUUUUUUCCCCAAAAUGUCGAGCUACGUUUUGAACUUUCUGUGACUCUUGUUUUAGAGGCCGGACACUUUUUUUUUAUUCUGAUUCCUGUUUAGCUCAAGUGGGGCAACAGUUUCUAAUAUGCGUCAGAAGUGCAACUGAAUAAUUUAGAGGUAUUAAUCCAGUGGAAGUCAGGGAUUAGAUUCCCGGUUAGAAAAUCAUUUUACACCCAGCACACACACACACACACACAAACACACACACACACACCCUGACACACUGGAUCUGUGUCUCGUUUCUCUCCAUGUCAUCCUCUCCUGAUCCUCUUCUCCUUUCCUAACUUGUUCUGAGUGUUUCUGUCACUUUUCCCCUCCUCGAUGGCCACUGCUGACUGGUCGCUUCUGUCAUGAAGAUGUACAUAUGUAAAGUUUGCGUUGUAGAUGAAUCUGCAUGGGUUUCCAUCACAAGCAAUAAGGAUAUUGAUAUGACUAAUAACGUGAGGAGGUGUGAUAAGGUUUUAGUCUUAAGCUUAAAUGAAUGUGUAUAGAACAUUUAGACUACUAAGAGUGUAUAUGGAUGUAUGUGUUUAGACGCAUACAUAUGCACUAACAAAAGCAUGCAGGACAAAAAUUCCUUCACCUCUUUGAAUGCAAGAAGAGGUGAGACGGGCUGACAUAAUGCAUGCCAAAAUGCUAUGAUGCUAUUGGUCGAAACAGACCAAGUUAGGUACUGUAAUGGGGCUGGGUGAGGGUGGGAAAGUUUAUUUUUGCAGGAUGGGGAGGGGUUACGUUUCUAGCAGGUCUUGUAUAGCUGCUUUCUUAUCGAUCUUGAGAGACUUAUGAUAAGAGAAACAUAAUAACAAUCGUAGCUUAUGGUUUUCUUUCUUCUUUUUUUGCUUCUCUAUUCACAGAGAACUGUUCUGAAAGCCCCGCGCUUAUCAGAUAUAUGCAAAAAGAAGCAGUAACUGUGAACUAAAGCUAAGAAAUGAAAAAAAAAACAAAAAUCCAGCUUCUUCCAUCAAUGUCUCGAUUCCUCUUCUGCAAGAGAGAAGAGAGACCCUUCUCCUCCCAAGAUACCUCCUCACCAAAGUUUCCCUUUCCAUCGUUUUCAUUCGUCCGCUCCUUCAUUGCCCAUCGUUUCCAGCUGUCCUGUCCUGUCCGCUGUACUUGCAUUUAAACUGGAGUGAUUUUAAAAGACGGAUGCCUCUGCAAUGCAAGAAUGAAGCGAUUCAAUGCAUCCUCAAAGCCAAGGGUGAGAAUGAACCGACCAGGUGGCCUCAGGCAGAACAUCUCCCUUUAGAACACCUCUAAUUCUUCUGGUUCAUUCAGCUGUAUUUGCAAUGAAUCAAGAGGUAUUUAGCAAUAGUCAUAAUGGAGAUGGUAAACUAUCUCGCCAAGAAUAUCACCCACCCAAUCUUCUGGUACUUUGUCUUUUACAUCCACUAGUUUAAUUAGACAUAACCAAAGUCUUUCCCCAACCUUAACCACAGUUAAUAUUGACAUAUAUUGGAGAAAAAUAUUGAAAGCUUCCUAGAAACAGAGAAAAACCUGACAUUCAGUGUAGCCCAUAGUUUUGCUCAACAGUCCUUUGUCAGUGGUGUUGUCCAGUGUUAGUUUUAUUACUUUUUCUUGUUGCUACAGAUAGUUGUAGUUGACAAAAUGAUCACAAAAUAAUUACCGCUCCAUUAAACCAAGGGACAAUUGGUUUUCUGGGUCCAGGAACUUUCAAUAGUUGGUAAUCCUGUUAUCAGAAAGGGAACCUGAGAUUAAAGACGUCCGCAUGUUGGAGAUGUGCACUGCUCUAGGGGAAGCUUCCUUUAAGAACAUGCCUCCGACCAUUUGGACGCUUCAUGAUCACGUCAAAAGUCUAAAUGUCUUUGCAGAAGUUGUGUUAAAUUCCAAGUGACAAACGGCACUGCAGAGGCAACGUUCUAACAUGGAAGCUUGAGGAUUGUUGAAUGCAGAUUAUCAUUGGUUUCUACUUGACGUCCUUUAGCUUCUGACCCCCGUCGGCCACAUUUCUCUCCUUCCAUCUAUUCACAACUCAGGUAUCUCUUUCUCAGUCUCUCCUUCUGUGCCCCUGUGUUCCUGUUCAACCCAUGUUUCCUCAAAUAUGUACUGUAUGUAUGAACAACGGAGAGACUAGAGAAGAAAAUUGAGCUUUCCUUUGUGUUCUGUGCCUGUGAAUGCUAUGUGCUCUGUUUUAAGGCCCCUCCUUCAGAAAUGCUGUUGCUUUAACUUGUCCGACUGCUUCCUGUCUUCUUCGUGUGUCGUCCCCUCGUCUUUCCGCCCUUUCCCCCUAUAACUGUACCUCACCGUCUGUGAGACGCUAUCCAUUCCCCCACCCAGAAGCCUCUCACAGCAAAACCAAAAAAAAGGAAAUAGAGUGCAAUUGGAGAACCUUCACACCAGAAAAACUAAAAAAGAUUGGCCUAACUGUGGACUUCACCGAGGAGGAAGACAGCAAUGGACACUGUAAUGAAUGGAAAACACUGGAGUGAGAUGUUGUAGAUGUGGAGGAGGGGAACAAAUGUGCUGUGAAAUGAUGUGUUCUGAGAGGAUGGUCAGCCGAGCAGCAUCAGAGGGAGGAGAUGGAGGAGGAAAAGUUUGGGCAAGACAGAAAAGUGUGGUGAUGAUGAGGAGGAGGAGGAAAGAAAGAAAGAAGCAAAAAUCGCUUCUCCAUUGCUGAGUUUCUAACCCACCCACCCCUUUCUGUACAAGAAGAGGAACCUAUAAACUCUAAGCUGCUGCUCCUCCAUCUCCCCUAGUGGGACUCACUGUAGAAAUUGGGAGGGAGAUAGAGAGAAAGAGGGAAAAAAAAGAAAAAGGUGUCACCGAACAUUUCCAUCAUCAUAUGCAACCCAGUGGAGAAAAGCUUGUGAUCACAAGUAAGCCAUUCUAACAUGGGAGAGCAAAUGUUCUCCAGCUCUUCUGAACUGAUUUCCAGAGCAUGGAGGGACACAUUCGGAUGUGGAACCAUGCGAGAAGGAUGCCUUCUUCUUUCCACAGCUGUGUGUCCUUUAGUUGUCAUAAUGCUUAACUGACCAGUCUGGUUUUUUCUUUAGUUUUUUUCGAGAAGCUGCACUCACUGCUGUUAGUUCCCAGUGAAUGCUCCAUUAUUUUGGCACUCGAAGCACUAUGCAAGGUGAGGGGUGGACCAUCGUGAUGUCUAACUGCUGAGUCUAAUCUGCUAAUCUCUGCUGAGCAACAGGACCUCGAACAGCAGGCUGAAGUCUACUCAUACAUAUCAGAAAACGCCAGCCAUAUCACACACACACAUGACGUGAUCCUGUCUAUUUGAUAUUAUCUGAAUCUUCCAGGAGACUAUUGACUGAACAUCUUGGGACUUCAAGUUCAGCUGAUCAUUUUAAAUACUCGGUUUUAAUCCAUCCUGGUGGAGUUUAACCCAAAGACAGACACUCGGAUGGACGAACCGGUCGGGGUGAGCACGAAGCUGGCCAUAACAUCUGUCCCAAUAAAAGGAGGUGUCGCUGAAGACGAAGAUGCGAUUGACCCUCUUUCUCUCUUUCUCGCUCUCUCUUUCCCUCUGGAGUCUUUACAGUAUCUCGCCCCGCCACCCCACCUCCCCUCCCUGCAUCUCAGCAUCGCUGCUGCUCCUCCUCUUUAGAAAAUCUGCAUGGCAUGAAUGAAACCAAUUAAAACCCGAAGAAAGACAGUCAAAGACACAAUGGAUGGAUUUAAAAAAUAAGAGGGGGAGAGAGAAGGGAAGGAGUCCAUAAGAAAGGGGGAGAGAGACCAUAGAUUUUUUUUUUCCACCCAGCAAUGUCAAUGCAAAGUCAUCAUCAUCAUCAUCAUCCGAGCUACUUUUUAACCCCUAACUGGCUGCUAAUACGUGCAAAACAGCAUCUCCUGCAGCAAACUGCUUUCUCUGAAGGCAUGAUGGAUGAGGAGGAGCUCUAACCCUCCUCUAAGAGACAGAGGAAGGUGGGGGAGGAGAUUCUGCGGACCAUACACUCUAUACCUCUGGGGAUGUGGGAGAAGAUAGAGGCUUUUUUAAAGAAAGCAGGUAUUCAGCAGGAGCGGGAGAACAUCUUUGAGAAACUAUUCUAGGGACUAAAAAAAAAGAGGCAAUGAUUGCAAAUUAGAAAUGCAUUUUUAUGACAUUGUUUACCAGCAUGAAUAUUCUGCAUGACUUCUGCAAGCCACUCUGAUCUCCCCCAUGAAUAACAGGGCUAGAAAUUGAGAAUUUAAAUGUGAAAAUUUAACAAGACGAUGUUAUAUGCAACAAAGUAAAAAUGUAGGCUUAUGUUUGAAAAAAGAAGAUUUUCUCCAUUUAGUUUUUAACGAUGAAAACACAUAUAAUUAAGAAAAAAAGGAUUGCAACAUCUGCCCUGUUCUGUUUUCUUUAGGAUAUCUUAGGAGACACCUCCAACCAAGCUCUCUAAAAUCCAAAAAGAGUCCUCCCAACUUCUGCAAGUAUCUAUUCUGCUACUACGAGUUUGUCUUCUACUACUUCAACUUCUCACCUGGCUGCUAUUCUGCUUCUUCUUCCUCCUUCUUCUUCUCUUUCUUCUUCCUCUUGUAGCCUUUACCAGAACCCUUAUAUGUAACUCUCUCCAAUGGCAGCUGUGUGCGUCUGUGUGACUAUCUGGACCCACAACAACCAAACUGAUGCUGAACUGAACUGUGCUGUCCACUCCAAGAUGUCACUGAUUCUGUGUAUUCUGUGAAAUGAAAUGUGUACCUGGUCCCUUUGCUUGGAACUUUCCUCCUGGCCUUGAUAAAGGUGGAUAUCCGAGGCGUCACCUUUGAGGUCAGAUAGGUCGACUGAGGUCCGGGGUGAAGAUUGAGACAGGAGAAGGAGAGGGUUCUCACUGGUCAGUUUACUUCCUCAGGUGAAAAGGUACGAGAUGGCUGCCUCAUCAUCCAGGAUUGUUGUUUAGCCACCUUGGAUUUAUGUCUUUUUCUUUCCUCCGAGCAAGAAUUAGCAUUUAUGUAAUUUUUUCCGAUGCUCUUUCAUCGAGAUUGGGGCUGAAAUGAGAUAUCCUAUAUGGAUAUUAGGGUUAGGGAUUGGGCAAUUGCUGUUGUAUGACGUGAUUUAAAUUUAAAUCAGGCUUUAUAUACCCCCAGCGAACCACCUAAGAAAGUUUAGAGGCCAUUACAAACUCAACUAAAGCUAAAUUUUUACUCACUCAAUUGAAUUUACAGUUUUAUUUAAUUAAAUGUUAUCUCUGUGAUAAUGUUGGACUUGCUCAUAUGUCCUUAAAUACUUAUUUUUUUGUCUGAAAACCGUCACAUUUCAUUAAAAAAAACCUUUUUAAUGUCAACUACAGACAUGGCAUGAGUGUUCUCAAUGGUGGCUACAGAAACUUGGUAAAAGAAAAGAACUAUAGUAGCUAAUGAAGAAUCAAGGAAAGAAAUAUGUGGUCUCAGAGAUUUAGAGAGAAAAAGAAGGAUGUCUUCUGUAAAUGUUCGGUCCAGUAGCUUUCUAAUGGUGUAGCUUUGCAAAACUCUGCCCUUCGUCAGAGAAUCGUACAAUCCCAGGAUAAAUUAAAUGAAUGACAACAUGUUCUCUACAUGUUGAAAGAUCUCUUACUUUCUUUUAAGGAAAAUAAUCACUUCUUCAUGCUAUUCCUCGUUAUAUAUGAAAUUUAGCUUAGUUUGAGAGGUAUUUAUUUAGUGAUAACACUGAUAAUUCGCCUUUGACACAAAUGACACCAACAAGAAAUUAUAGUAUAUUUGAUGUCCUUAGAAUAAUACAACUAAAUGCAAACCUAGUAAUCGGUGAAGUUAUCGUCUAUUUAAACAUGUAACUACUUUAUAAGAAAGACUUCAGCAGUUGGUUUGUGCAGUAAUACUCUACAACAUCAGACAGCAUCACAUUUACCAACUGUCCUACAACAGGGUGGAAUAGGCUUGGUCUGUCAGGUGCUCAUACAAGCUGGUGAGACGGCAUAGGAGCAGGGCUUCAUUUCCCACGGUGGGAUGACAGAAGAGGCCCAGAUGUACAGUGAACAGCUCAUUAGUUAGAGCAGCUCUAAAGGAUUAGCGGUGGUUCCUCCAAGGGUGAGAGGCAGCCAUCUCAGCUCUGUAUGUCCAAACAGGGCUGGCCAAUAAACCCCCAGUACCAGAAACAGCAGAGAUAGUUCUGCUGGGCUGUGAAGGAAGAAGCAUUUUUGCACAAUCUGUAGAUAGAUUUAGACAAACUAGAUAACAGGGAACUAUACAGAAAGAUGGGAAUAUCUUCAGAGGUGGCGGAAACCCUUUGAGUGGCCUGAAAGCUGCAGGUAGCAGACAGACUUGUUAUUAUAAAACAGAAAAAGUAGAUUGUGAGACCAUCUGGAUUUGGACUGAGCUCAUUUUUCAAGCUGUUUUGUUAUGUUGAUUGCUUUGUAUUUUGUUUGUGAGGCCAUGUGGGCCCACCACCUGGAUAAAUGUGUACUAAACUGCAAGCAUGGAUGGAUUACUGAGAAGGCCAAGUAGACACAGGGAACCUAAUGUCUGUUUGAAGGGACUAUUAACGUUUUCUGUUUCUUUAAAGUCAAUCAAAUGACCAUAGAGAGAAACAACACAACUACAAGGACACUCAUAACAACUACAACGAGACGGAGACUGAAAACAACUACAAAGAGACUCAACUACAAAGAGACUCAUAACACCUACAAGGAGACUCAUAACAACUACAAAGAGACUCAAAAGAACUACAAAGAGACUCAUAACAACUUCAAAGAGACAAAACAACUUCAAAGAGACUCAUAACUACAAAGAGACGCAACAACUUCAAAGAGACUCAACUUCAAAGAGACUCAAAACAACUACAAAGAGACUCAAAACAACGACAAAGACUCAAAACAACUUCAAAGAGACUCAUAGCAACUACAAAGAGACUCAAAACAACUUCAAAGAGACUCAAAACAACUUCAAAGAGACUCAAAACCCGUAGUGACAACAAAGGGAGAGAAUAUCUCUUUCACUUUGUGUCUUGCAGCUUUGUAGACAUGGUGGAGGAGCUUUUCCAUGUCUGUCCCUUCCUCCAAUCGUCUCAUAAUCCAUCCAUGUAUGCAGGUUUUCCAGGUUGUGGUAGACAUGCAGUAGGGCUGUAAACAAACCUAAAUAUCCUUGCUGAUAUCUUUUCCCCAAUGAAAAAUGUCCAACAAAUGAAAGAUAGCAAACGUUUGGAUCCACCUGACAAAAAAUGUUCAACGUAACGCUUUUCCAUAAGGGCUAUCGAGCUGAAAGAGCUGUUUCUGGAAAGCUAUUGCUAGUUUGAAAAAAAUAAUAAUGCUACAAGGUGGAACUUCAGAACUAUAAUCUCACUAUUGAUAUCAAUUCUACAACCUCUAACACAUCUGAAAAUGUGUUUUCUAGCUGUGAAAUGUGGGCAUUGGGAAUUGAUACAAGAUGUGCUUGGUCUGAUUUACAUAGUGUACAUUUAUGUGGUUUGUUACACAGGAAAAUUCUCUUAAAUUUGAUUAUCUUUGCAUUUUUAUUUGCACCUCUCCAGAGGAGUGCUUGAUAAAUUGAAGAUUUCGACAGUCCAAUGCACUCUCAGACUACUUCAAUGUGAGAGUUUGGCAGUAAAAUUACCACACACUGGCCAGAUGUCGGUUUGAAAAUCUAGAUACAGGCAAAGUCCAGUACCUAACCAAAAAUUCUAUUAGUUUUUGGUUUUUAGUUGUCAUAACUUAAAAUGAAUAAACAUAAAUUGUAGCAUUGACUACAUCAACUCGAGGGAUUGAGGGGAAACAAUCCUUCAGGUGAUUACAAAUUAGGUUUGGUUUGCACAACAUUGUGGGGAACAAAGAGUUUAAUGUUGGAAAAAACAGGUUUUACAGUAUGUGUGUGUUGUUUUCUUUUGUUUUUGCAUUGUGAAUAUUCCUGUAUCAUCCUGGAGGAGUCUUAACAAAUGGCAGGGAGCCAAAAAUCAAACAGAAAACAGGGCCUAUCUCAGGAAUACACUGUUGAAAAUCAGAGAGGCAGAACAUCUACAUAUUAAGAUGCUGCACUAUGUAUUUUCAAGAUUGAAGAAAGUUUAAAUGCUAAUUUCAAAUUAAUAUUCUGAUCAUUUCAGUGAGUAAAUCUGGAUCUCUACAACUUUGCUUGAAGCCUGGAAAUAGAUUUCUCUGACCUUGUCCUUCCACACCGUGCGAGUGUGGACUUUUUUUUUUUUACUGGUUCUGUAUGGGAUGAGAAGAAUCAGUUUGGAUAUUUUAUAUCACAUGUCUUCCUAAAGGUAUAUAGUACACCUUCAGAAAUGUCAGAAUAAUAACAGCCUACCAUGUACUGUAUCGUAGCUAUACCAAGGUGAACACAACUUCUGUCAGUGUCAUUAAUUCUGUUGGGUGUUGUGCUUUCGACAUUCGUUUAUUUGCUAAAACUGUAUUUUUGGUUUUACAUAUAUAUAUUUUGUAUUUUUGACACAUGCAAUUACGAUAAAUUAUGAACAUGAAGAUUAUAACAAUGCAUCUAUAAAUGCUUUUGUAUACAAGCAUGUAGUGAACAUAAAGAGAGCCUAUGCACGCACCAUGUUGGGCUAUAGGCUUCAUGUCAUUGUGCUGACGGAAACAUUCGGUUUUGUGUCCUUAUGUCCGGUUUCAGGGGUUUAGCUGAGAAGAAAGUAGAGCUUUAGAAUAUUGCCAAAACCAGAAUUGCCCAUUAAGUUGUUGUGUUUAUUGCUAUCUGUGCAGGUUAGGGGGUUUACCAGAACUAAUGGAUAUUCUCAAAUGCAACGUAAAGGGGCACUUCAUUGAUUUAGUUGAGAUUCAUGAAAGACAGAUUUCCCACCUUUAGUAAACAUGAGGAUCUCUUAACCUUGAUCCCAGCAGCUUGCAGUGCAUGUUUUCCAACUAAAAAAGUUGUAUCCUCGGAGCAUAAGCCAAAGUUUUGACAUCAGUACGACUCCACAAAACUCUUCCAGAGCAACACAAGAUUCUUUCGUAAAUUUAGCAGGGUGCCCCUUUUAGAUCAUUGGUGUAACAGAAACCUGACGGUCCAACCAGAAACCCUCCUGGGUUCACAGUCCUCAUGAAACCAAUACCUGCAAGUCUGUAGUGGAGAUCAUAUUGUCGUGUCCGCAGGCUGCAAAUUCUCCUUAUUUCACGCCAAAAAAGCAGAUGAGUCCAAAAAUUACAAAACUGCUCAUUGACACUGAAAAAUAUCCCAGAAAUAUUCCCAAUCCUUCUGGAGUUCUGCUGAGAUCAUUUUUGCAACAGUCUGAGAACAUUUCACUGUCAGAGCGAAGGUGUUCUGUGUCUCCACCGUCUUGUUUCCUUUAAACCUCCCAUCUUUCAGACGUAAUGAAGACUUGAAGGGCAGUAAAUAACGGCUGUGCAGCUCCGGUCAGAUGUAGAAUCCUUGGUUAUUCCACUGCGGCACAGUGGGAACAGAGCAAUAAUGGUACAAGCUCAUUUUAAGGGUCUCUGGUUUGAAUAAUUUUGCAUGUCUGAUGUGUAAGAGAGAGAGCAUGCUGUGACCAGACGGACGGCUGACCUAACCGAUACUGCUAUCUUUACUUGAAACCCAUACGAAGACCAAACAUAUCAGGACAAGAUGCAGAGGAGCGGCUCUGCCCACUGUCACACCUGCCACCUUUCUUUAACGCCGACUGAAGUUUUGAAGGCCUUUAUGUACGUACGAGCAUUUCAGGAAGUCAGGAGGAGUCUGGUUGGUGGCUGGGGAAUCAAGCAGAGCUAAAAUGUGGAAUGAUUUAAACCCAUGGAGAGCCAGAACCAGAACCAUGCAACUUCAGUAGACACUGUGAGCUUAUCCAGACUCUGUAGGCCUAGACGAAAUAGUCCUAACUCAACAUGGAGCUACCUAGUUCAUCCAGGCAGCGUAGGCCUAAAUGGAGUCAGCUAGACCUUCAGCAAGUAACUUAACUGGAGGUCUGUUUAUCCAGAUUGAGCAGGCCUAGAUGGAGCUAGCUAGAUCUUCAACAAAUAUUCCUAACUCAAGGUUGGGCUAACUUGUUUACCCAGGCUACAGUAGCUAAAUUAGACCUGACAAAAUCAUUUUCACUCAAGGUCCACUUCCCUUUAGCCACAUUUCAUGGUAUUAUAAGUGGACCUUAUGACUAGAUGUGUUUUUCCUCAACUUCUAGCUCACACUGUUUGAAUAAACAGUGGCGUAAAUGAGGACUAAUACUUCUCUCUCUAGCUGAAAGAUGGACUUUUAGUUGAAUUUACCAAACUAAUUCUGGCCAGUUCUACUUUCCGACACAGUCUAGUUAAAGUAGCUGCUGGUUUUAAAUCUUCUCGUCCUCAGAAAUGUUCUAGCAACCCUACUAGUCUACAUUUUAAAACAGACUUGAGUUAAGUUUAGGUAUUAAAACACUAUAAACAAUGUUGUGCGUCAGCUAGUAGUAUUUUAGGCUCUAAAACUCCAGUCUGCAUUUCCGCGGUAACCUCUCCUCCUCUCCAUCCCAUGUUCCUCACCUUUCCUCUCUCUCUCUCUCUCUCUCUCUCUCUCUCUCUCUCUCUCCAUGCUCUCCUCCUCUUCCUCCUCCUUCCUCCCCCACCUCCUCCUUCAGUUACUUUGAGGAAGAAGCUUCUUUUUGCAUCCCUUGUUCUUGUGUUUUUGUAUCCUGUUCUUUUUUUUCAAGAUGAAUUCUAAAUGCAUGCGUGGGAAACUUCAAAAUGAUGACUUUAACUUAAUUGCGAAUGGCCUUGUGAAGGGAAGCCUCUCCUCUGAUGACAGGAAGCAGUCUCCUUUUCUGACUUUCUCUGUAGGGUUGGAAAACAAAAUGUGGCGACACAACCAAGAAAAGAAAAAAAAACAUAUUUUAGUUGCUUUUCAUGCUUUAAACAAGGUGUGGAUGUUUUCACAGAGCAGCAGCAGGCUCAGUUUCAUGAGUCUAGUUGGGGCUUUCAAGAAGUUUUGGGAAAUCUAGCAGAGUUAUCCUUCAUGUUUCCAUGCUACCAUUUCAGAACAUAUCCUACGGAUAUAUUCCUGGGUCAUUAUUCAUCGUCAUCUCCUGCUCCAGUGCUGUACCGUCUGUUCAUCCAUUAGUUUUUUCACUGGAUUUAGUUUUUCCUCUCAUCUCGUGCUCAUUUUUACGUGCCUUCUCUUCUCUCUUCUGCUGUGGGCUACACAUCACUGUUUGGUUGUUUAGUCCAUGAUCUCACCACCUGGAUAAAUAGUUGGUUUGUGUCCACAGAGGAAAAAAAGAACGACGACAGAAGCAAAGACGAGAGGCUUCCCUCCAUUGACGAAUGGGGUUUACUGUAUGCUAUAAAGAUUGAUGCUGGAUCUGAUUUUAUUGUCACUACACUGGAGAGAGGAAAAUUAAAAAAAAAAAAAAAAAAUACAAGAAACAAAAAGAAUCAAGAACUGUAUAAAAUAUAUUUCAAUGGAAUGUUUAUUACUUACCUUUUUCUAUUUUUGAAACAUGUAAAAGAACAAAAAAGGUGAAACUGUAAUAAUUCAGCAACAUUUGUGAAAAAGAACAGUUCUGCUGUUAAAAACGUAUGAAGGUUUGACUGUGAAUGCUGAUUUACCUGAGCAACUCUCCUCCUUAACUGAUAGGAUAAAUAAAAACCAGAUGAAUAAUACUUUUAAAAAAAAUCACGAAACUACUGGGAAAAAGCAAACAAACUCAGUUCAAAGAGAAAACCUCAAAAACUUAAUAAAAACAUUAAAAGCUUAUGCCAAAAUGUUC